UGAUCAUAUGUGUUAUGUAGUCUC
rnacentral:siRNA from 1 species